ensembl:lncRNA
GCUAGCCAGCCUCCUCUGUCCAUGGGAUUUCCCAGGCAAGAAUAGUGGAGUAGGUUGCCAUUUCCUUCUCCAGGGGAUCUUCCUGACCCAGGGAUUGAAGCCGUGUCUCCUGUUUGGCAAGGAGAUUCUUUACCACUGAGCCACUUGGGAAGCCCAGGAACAAAGUCUCUGACCCUGGAAAUGCUCAGCUGGGAACUGAUGUGUCUGUUGUGAUGUCUGGAGGGACCACAGCUGGAGAUGACACAUUGCUGCAAGUUAACAAUUUGAAACAAAUCUCUGUAAUAUUGAAAGACAUUUCUCUGCAUCGCUUCCUCUUCAGCAGUCCCACGGCAGCCAUCAUUCACCUUGCCUCCAUCCAGAUGGUGGAUGUGCAGCUUCUGAGAAGGAUGACUAGCAACUUCAGAGGCUUAAAAUGUACAUCCACCAAACAAAGCUAUCUGUAAAUACAUUGUUUGUUUUGAACAAACCUUCUGUUCUGGUUCUAUUUGAUUAACAAGAAUAAUCAAACAUCUAAAUAAAAAUCAUUGUCU